AACCUGCCCUUCAGAGGGGGACGAACAGUUGGAAACGACUGCUAAUACCGCAUACGAUCCAACCUCGGCAUCGAGGAUGGAUGAAAGGUGGCCUCUAUUUAUAAGCUAUCACUGAAGGAGGGGAUUGCGUCUGAUUAGCUAGUUGGAGGGGUAACGGCCCACCAAGGCAAUGAUCAGUAGCCGGUCUGAGAGGAUGAACGGCCACAUUGGGACUGAGACACGGCCCAGACUCCUACGGGAGGCAGCAUG
rnacentral:rRNA from 1 species